rnacentral:misc_RNA from 1 species
GAUGAAGAACUCAGCGAAAUGCGAUAAGUAAUGUGAAUUGCAGAAUUCAGUGAAUCAUCGAAUCUUUGAACGCAUCUUGCGCUCCUUGGUAUUCUGAGGAGCAUGCCUGUUUGAGUGUCAUUAAAUUCUCAACUACACUGACUUUGAAUUGGUGUGGCUUGGAUUUGGGGGGAAAAUUGUUGUGGGCUUUUUGUAUAGUCUGCUCCCCUGAAAUUGAUUAGCGGUACCUUUGUGGAACUGUCUACAGGUGUGAUAAUUAUCUACAUCUUAGACAUCUGCUGGAAUGCUGCUUUCUAAACCUUACUUGUAUUGACAAUCUUGACCUCAAAUCAGGUAGGACUACCCGCUGAACUUAAGCAUAUCAAUAAGCGGAGGA